rnacentral:rRNA from 1 species
CCUACGGGAGGCAGCAGUGGGGAAUAUUGCACAAUGGGGGAAACCCUGAUGCAGCAACGCCGCGUGGGGGAAGACGGGUUUCGGAUUGUAAAGCUCUGUUAGUGGGGAAGAAGAAUGACGGUAGCCGAGCAAGAAGCCCCGGCUAACUACGUGCCAGCAGCCGCGGUAAUACGUAGGGGGCGAGCGUUAUCCGGAAUUACUGGGUGUAAAGGGAGUGUAGGCGGGAAGGUAAGCCAGCUGUGAAAGCUACGGGCUUAACCUGUGAACUGCAUUGGAAACUGGUUUGCUUGAGUGAAGGAGAGGUAAGCGGAAUUCCUGGUGUAGCGGUGAAAUGCGUAGAUAUUAGGAGGAACACCGGUGGCGAAGGCGGCCAACUGGACCAUAACUGACGUUGAGGCUCGAAAGUGUGGGGAGCAAACAGGAUUAGAUACCCCGGUAGUC